rnacentral:rRNA from 1 species
GACGAACGCUGGCGGCGUGCUUAACACAUGCAAGUCGAACGGAAAGGCCCUGCUUUUGUGGGGUGCUCGAGUGGCGAACGGGUGAGUAACACGUGAGUAACCUGCCCUUGACUUUGGGAUAACUUCAGGAAACUGGGGCUAAUACCGGAUAGGAGCUCCUGCUGCAUGGUGGGGGUUGGAAAGUUUCGGCGGUUGGGGAUGGACUCGCGGCUUAUCAGCUUGUUGGUGGGGUAGUGGCUUACCAAGGCUUUGACGGGUAGCCGGCCUGAGAGGGUGACCGGCCACAAUGGGACGGAGAUACGGCCCAGACUCCUACGGGAGGCAGCAGUGGGGAAUAUUGCACAAUGGGCGGAAGCCUGAUGCAGCAACGCCGCGUGCGGGAUGACGGCCUUCGGGUUGUAAACCGCUUUCGCCUGUGACGAAGCGUGAGUGACGGUAAUGGGUAAAGAAGCACCGGCUAACUACGUG